rnacentral:antisense_RNA from 1 species
AUCCUUGCUUGACUUGAGAGGUAUGAGGUUGGAGCAGCUGUAGCCAUCUCCAUCUAUCGAGGGAACACAGGUUUGAGAACACAGUCAAGUCAGGACGAGAACAAGAGAGACGCUGGAUCUUGAGGACAGUGCUUGAGCCCUCGAAUCAAUCAAUGUCUAAACUAAUGGAAGGUCGAUGAAGACAUUUGGCCAGAGGACCCUGAAACACCUGAAUCCCACCUUUGACUGGCUAGCCCCAUUUCUCAGCAGUGCCUUCACAGGAGCGGUAAGUAGCACUUUAUUUUUAGAGAAAGCUUUGGUGAAAAACCGUAGUGCAAACCUGAGCAAGAGUGGACCUCAUGCUUCUUGCCUGUCGUGGUUCAAGCCCAAUUCUCAGGUAUUACCUGUUCGACUUUGUAGUUUCAUGUUCUCUGCCUCUGGCUGAUGUGUAUUGGCUCAGGUUUUUUGUGGUUUGGUUUUGAUUCUUGGUUUUCAACUAUAUCAGAGAAGAAAGCAAAAGUAUUUUGUCACCUUUGCCUAGAAUAUUUGCCAAAUGGUGGCUGCCCAAGUCCUUUCAAACUGAGUGAAGAAAUCUGAACCUGCUUCCAGGUGGGAGGAGGACUGUGUUAG